UGACCUCAGGGGUUAAGUGAUCCUCCCACCUAGACCUCCCAAAGUGUUAGGACUACAUGUGUGAGAUGCCAUACCCAGCCUUGAAUCUAAGUUUUUAUUUUCCUAGGUUAGACACCCAGGAGUGGGAACACUGAGUUGUAUGUGAGCAGAUGUGAUUCUGCACUGUUUGACCUGGGCUGGAGCACAGUGGCAUGAUCUCGGCUCACUGCAACCUCUGCCUCCCGGAUUGAAGCAAGUCUCCUGCCUUGGCCUCCUGAGUAGCUGGGAUUACAGAUUCUUCAAGAUUCCCAUGGAGCCACACCACCUCCUGUCUUGGCACUUGGUGAGUCCAAGGCUGCUUCGAGAGAGGAUCUGGUUGGUAGACCAUGACACUGAUUCCUGUCUCUCAGCCUAGCUUUAUUCUCUGCAGCCCCCACCUUUUUGGUACUAGAAGAGUGCUUUUUCUAGUACACUCAUAAGUGGAUACUGAAAUCACAACCUGGCCAUUUGGAUGUUCAACUACUGCUAUAUGCUGCAGAGUCCCUGGAACUCACCAACCCGUGCUGGAACUCACUGGAGCUCAGAGAUUAGUGCACUGGCAAAGUAUUCGGAUUACAGCGGAGAGCUAUGGACAGCAGAUACCGAAAACACCCCAGCCUUGCAGAUCCCAAGGUAACGACGGCCUUCACCGACCACUCGCUUCGCCAGAGGUCCAAAAGAACUUGCAGCAUGAUCGCCUGUCUGCUGCAUUUCCAACUCUAAGCAGCCAGCUUCAAGGAGCCAAAGAGGAGUCCCCAAUGGCAAGGGGACCAGAGAAGAGAAACAUGGUAAAUGUAAACCCAAAAGACAGUAAAAUGGGAUACAAUCGCCAUUGAAAUCCCAGAGAUGUGGACAAGUCCCAAAAAGUAGUUGUUAGAUUAAACAACUGGGCACACCUCACUUCCCCAAAAACAUAAUACAUAGAAAUUUCAGGGACAACUGGAAAAAUGGAGAAAUGCUCAAUGAAAACCGAGCUCUUCAACUCAAACAUCUCAGGGCUGAAACACAUCCUCUAUUAUUCAGGCAACGAUGCCUCUUGCCUUUUAGCAAGGAUGCAACUGGUCAAUGACACCAAAUGGCUUUACAGGGCGACUUUUUAAAUGUUCCUUUUAGACCAAAGCCUAGGCCUGUGAGGAUUCAAACAGCCCUGUAAGACCUGUGACAGCAGGUUCCAAAGGGUCCAAGGUCUGACCCUUCCUUCCCAGACACAAUGUCAAAUGCAAAAUCUCCUGUCAUGUACAUUUUAUAUUUUGAAAUAUGGAAGCAUAUUUUAAAUACUCUAAAGGCAUUUAUUUAUUACAACAUUCUCUGAUUUCACAUUAGCUUAAAAUUCAAUUCAGUCUUUACAUUACUCCACUGAGGUCGCCGCCUCAGCAUAUAACAUAACACCUCCUGCAGCACUCAGUGUGACCCGCUUCCGCACAGUGAGCCCCACAGUCAGCCUCUUUGUUUCCCAGGUGAACCAACUAGAUGUUAAUACUGCUCUGCUAUAAGGUAAAAGCUCCUAACUCAAACUUACUGGAAAAGGAGUGAAACGUCUGCAAAGUGCACUUUAAGAAGAGGUACUUUUUGCUUAUGAAAAGAAACCAGUGAGUCCUCUAAGGAUAAUAAAAGGGAGUAUUUUACAGUUAAGCA
rnacentral:lncRNA from 13 species